rnacentral:rRNA from 1 species
UACGGGGGGGCAAGCGUUGUUCGGAAUUACUGGGCGUAAAGGGCUCGUAGGCGGCCAACUAAGUCAGACGUGAAAUCCCUCGGCCUAACCGGGGAACUGCAUCUGAUACUGGAUGGCUUGAGUUCGGGAGAGGGAUGCGGAAUUCCAGGUGUAGCGGUGAAAUGCGUAGAUAUCAGGAGGAACACCGGUGGCGAAGGCGGUUCUCUGGGCAUGAUCUGACGCUGAGGAGCGAAAGUGUGGGAGCGAACAGG